AGAGUUUGAUCAUGGCUCAGGAUGAACGCUGGCGGCGUGCCUAACACAUGCAAGUCGAGCGAUCUUCUUCGGAAGAGAGCGGCGGACGGGUGAGUAACGCGUGGGUAACCUGCCUCAUACACAUGGAUAACAUACCGAAAGGUAUGCUAAUACAAGAUGAUAUAAGAGAUUCGCAUGGAUUUCUUAUCAAAGCUCCGGCGGUAUGAGAUGGACCCGCGUCUGAUUAGCUAGUUGGUAAGGUAACGGCUUACCAAGGCGACGAUCAGUAGCCGACCUGCGAGGGUGAUCGGCCACAUUGGAACUGAGACACGGUCCAAACUCCUACGGGAGGCAGCAGUGGGGAAUAUUGCACAAUGGGCGAAAGCCUGAUGCAGCAACGCCGCGUGAGCGAUGAAGGCCUUCGGGUCGUAAAGCUCUGUCCUCAAGGAAGAUAAUGACGGUACUUGAGGAGGAAGCCCCGGCUAACUACGUGCCAGCAGCCGCGGUAAUACGUAGGGGGCUAGCGUUAUCCGGAUUUACUGGGCGUAAAGGGUGCGUAGGUGGUUUCUUAAGUCAGGAGUGAAAGGCUACGGCUCAACCGUAGUAAGCUCUUGAAACUGGGAAACUUGAGUGCAGGAGAGGAAAGUGGAAUUCCUAGUGUAGCGGUGAAAUGCGUAGAUAUUAGGAGGAACACCAGUAGCGAAGGCGGCUUUCUGGACUGUAACUGACACUGAGGCACGAAAGCGUGGGGAGCAAACAGGAUUAGAUACCCUGCUAGUCCACGCCGUAAACGAUGAGUACUAGGUGUCGGGGGUUACCCCCCUCGGUGCCGCAGCUAACGCAUUAAGUACUCCGCCUGGGGAGUACGCUCGCAAGAGUGAAACUCAAAGGAAUUGACGG
rnacentral:rRNA from 1 species